GACGAACCGUGCGAACGUUGUUCGGAAUCACUGGGCUUAAAGGGCGCGUAGGCGGGUAUCCAAGUCCGGGGUGAAAGCCCCCGGCUCAACCGGGGAAUUGCCUUGGAUACUGGAUGUCUUGAGCGAGGUAGGGGCCGUUGGAACUUCCGGUGGAGCGGUGAAAUGCGUUGAUAUCGGAAGGAACGCCGGUGGCGAAAGCGAACGGCUGGACCUCUUCUGACGCUGAGGCGCGAAAGCUAGGGGAGCAAACGGG
rnacentral:rRNA from 1 species